rfam:Mycobacterium leprae cosmid L471.
UUGCCGGUGUAAGUCCGGUCCGGGUAGUCGUCAGGAGGCCUGGUAGCAGACUGGUGACUUGGUCUGGAAAAGGACCGGUCGAAGCCCCGUGUCGAAAGCCUUUUACUAGGGGGACUGAGUGGUCAGUAGCAUGA